AGCCGGUUAGCUCGGCUGAUCAGAGUGUGGUGUUAACGCUGAGGUCAUGGGUUCAAUCCCCAUACUGGCCA
rnacentral:tRNA from 1 species